AUGGAGCAAGAUGGAUGGACGAAUUUGAAGUUGAAGAAGCUAGGAAUGUGUUUCAAAGUUGAAGAAUUGAAGAUGCAAAGUUUCCUAAUUGAAGUAGGAAAGUGCUUAAUUGAAGAUGAAAUCCUAGUCAACAAUGGAUUCCUAGUUGAAGUUGGAUUUCUAGAAGAUUGAAGAUUCCUACUCAAACAAGGUUUCCUACUUGAAGAAGGGAAGUUAAAGCCAAAGAAUCAGCUCAAGUGAAGAAACCUUAUCCAAAACAUUAUCCAUAACCUUAUCUUAGCUUAUCUUAUCCAAACAAACCUUAUCCUAAUCCUAAUCCACCUAUAUUUCAGCUGCGAGGGAGGAUUCCUAACUAUAUUAGGAUGCUUAAAACCUGAUUUCUAUAAGCCUUAUCCCUUCCUACAAAGGUGCCACACCUUAUCCCUUGUUUUUCUAGAAAUCAGCCACAAAACAACCUUUCUAGAAGGCCUUAUCCCUUGUCCUACAAAAGUGACGCCCCAAACCUUUCUAGAACUUCUAGAAACCUGAUUAUUCCUUUUCCCCCUUGGUUUCUAAAAGCCUUAGCCUUUUCCUUCAAGGAUUGUGUGUUAUUAUCCUAUACAAAUUGGGCCUUUCAAUCCUUUUCCUUUGCUACAUAGGGGCUGCGAAUUUCAGCCUAUAAAUACCAUCAUUUGCUGCACCAUUUAGUCACCACCCUCUACCAUAUUUUCACUACACCAUUCACCCAAACAUCCCUCUUGUGCCGUGAGUUUGCAAAGGAGAAGGAAUGAGACUCUUGGAGCCGUGCAUGCCAUUCAAGGAGCUUGGAUUGUUGGAGCGUUUCUAGGUGUUUU
rnacentral:lncRNA from 1 species